rnacentral:rRNA from 1 species
GAUGAACGCUGGCGGCGUGCCUAAUACAUGCAAGUCGAGCGAACAGACGAGGAGCUUGCUCCUCUGACUUUAACGGCGGACGGGUGAGUAACACGUGGAUAACCUACCUAUAAGACUGGGAUAACUUCGGGAAACCGGAGCUAAUACCGGAUAAUAUAUUGAACCUCAUGGUUCAAUAGUGAAAGACGGUUUUGCUUUCACUUAUAGAUGGAUCCGCGCCGCAUUAGCUAGUUGGUAAGGUAACUGCUUACCAAGGCAACGAUGCGUAGCCGACCUGAGAGGGUGAAUCGACACACUGGAACUGAGACACGGUCCAGACUCCUACGGGAGGCCGCAGUAGGGAAUCCUACGCAAUGGGCGAAAGCCUGACGGAGCAAAGCCGCGUGAGUGAUGAAGGUCUUCGGAUCGUAAAACUCUGUUAUUAGGGAAGAACAAAUGUGUAAGUAACUAUGAACAUCUUGACGGUACCUAAUCAGAAAGCCACGGCUAACUACGUG